AUUGUGAAGCAGAAUUCA
rnacentral:ncRNA from 4 species